rnacentral:rRNA from 1 species
CCUACGGGAGGCAGCAGUGGGGAAUCUUGCGCAAUGGGGGCAACCCUGACGCAGCCAUGCCGCGUGAAUGAUGAAGGCCUUAGGGUUGUAAAGUUCUUUUGCCCGUGACGAUGAUGACGGUAACGGGAGAAUAAGCUCCGGCUAACUUCGUGCCAGCAGCCGCGGUAAUACGAAGGGGGCUAGCGUUGUUCGGAAUUACUGGGCGUAAAGCGCGCGCAGGCGGUUCGAUAAGUUAGGGGUGAAAUCCCUGGGCUCAACCCAGGAAUGGCCUUUAAGACUGUCGAGCUAGAGGACGAGAGAGGUGAGUGGAAUUCCCAGUGUAGAGGUGAAAUUCGUAGAUAUUGGGAAGAACACCGGUGGCGAAGGCGGCUCACUGGCUCGUUUCUGACGCUGAGGCGCGAAAGCGUGGGGAGCAAACAGGAUUAGAUACCCUGGUAGUCCACGCCCUAAACGAUGAGUGCCAGGUGUCGGGAAGCUUAGCUUCUCGGCGCCGCAGCUAACGCCUUAAGCACUCCGCCUGGGGAGUACGGCCGCAAGGUUAAAACUACAAAGGAAUUAGACGG